rnacentral:rRNA from 1 species
GACGAACGCUGGCGGCGUGCUUAACACAUGCAAGUCGAACGGACCUUCGGGUUAGUGGCGAACAGGUGAGUAACACGUGGGUGAUCUGCCCUGCACUUUGGGAUAAGCCUGGGAAACUGGGUCUAAUACCGGAUAGGACUACGCACUGCAUGGUGUGUGGUGGAAAGCUUUUGCGGUGUGGGAUGGGCCCGCGGCCUAUCAGCUUGUUGGUGGGGUGAUGGCCUACCAAGGCGACGACGGGUAGCCGGCCUGAGAGGGUGACCGGCCACACUGGGACUGAGAUACGGCCCAGACUCCUACGGGAGGCAGCAGUGGGGAAUAUUGCACAAUGGGCGCAAGCCUGAUGCAGCGACGCCGCGUGAGGGAUGACGGCCUUCGGGUUGUAAACCUCUUUCGCCAGGGACGAAGCGCAAGUGACGGUACCUGGAGAAGAAGGACCGGCCAACUACGUGCCAGCAGCCGCCGUAAUAC